rnacentral:rRNA from 1 species
UACGUAGGGUGCAAGCGUUGUCCGGAAUUAUUGGGCGUAAAGAGCUCGUAGGCGGUUCGUCGCGUCGGCUGUGAAAUCCCGAGGCUCAACCUCGGGUCUGCAGUCGAUACGGGCGGACUGGAGUUCGGCAGGGGAGACUGGAAUUCCUGGUGUAGCGGUGAAAUGCGUAGAGAUGUGGAGGAAUACCGAUGGCGAAGGCAGCCUCCUGGGCCAACACUGACGCUCAUGCACGAAAGCGUGGGGAGCAACAGG